UGGGGAAUAUUGCACAAUGGAGGGAACUCUGAUGCAGCGACGCCGCGUGAACGAAGAAGGCUUUCGAGUCGUAAAGUUCUUUUAUGUGGGAAGAUAAUGACGGUACCAUAAGAAAAAGCCCCGGCUAACUACGUGCCAGCAGCCGCGGUAAUACGUUGGGGGCUAGCGUUGUCCGGAAUCACUGGGCGUAAAGGGUUCGCAGGCGGAAAGGCAAGUCAGGUGUAAAAGGCAGUAGCUUAACUACUGUAAGCAUUUGAAACUGCAUAUCUUGAGAGGAGUAGAGGUAAGUGGAAUUUUUAGUGUAGCGGUGAAAUGCGUAGAUAUUAAAAAGAAUACCGGUGGCGAAGGCGACUUACUGGGCUCAUUCUGACGCUGAGGAACGAAAGCGUGGGUAGCAAACAGG
rnacentral:rRNA from 1 species